UGUAGGUUAAGAAUUUAGAAAACAGGAAAUCACGUGUUCUCAGGAAGGCAGUGGCAGCAGCAGCGGUGGGGGUGACUGUGGAGGGCAGAGCCGGACCUGGUGCCAGUCCACUGACCACAGCAUGGGGGCACACAGGCUUUUCCAUCAGGGGUUGCUGCCUUUAGCCUUCAUUGCAGCAAGAAGGAUGCAAGCUAGACACAUGACAUAUCUGUGACAGCCCACUAGCUGGGGUUCCUUCUGUGCCUAGAACCAGAGGGUGGAGAAGCAGGAAGCAGAAGGACCCCAGGAGCUCCGGAGCCACAUCAGUGACUCUAGGCUACGUGAAGAUGGAUGCCUUAAAACGGUGAAGCGUUGCAGACAUGGACCUCUGACCUCUGGCACGGCACACACAAGACCAGGUACGCAUGCAUAUUUCACACACAGAUUUUUACUAUGUACAUUUCUAGUGCACAUAGAAACGAUGAUUGCCGGCCACUGUUUCUGUGAUCCAAUGCUGUAGACAUGAGCCGUGUUCACUGUACAAGCCCCCAAUACACACUUAAAGCAACAGCAGGGCCAGGCAGGUGAGAUGUGAAGCAGUCCUUCAAAUCCAAGAGUCCCUUCAGCGGGUCCCACCCUUAGCCGGAAUGGGGUGUUUCCUGGGUUCUUCCCGGGUUUCUGGGCCACAGACUGCUUAGGUUACCCAAAGAAGUCCAAUGGAGCCAAGGGAACCAGGAAGGCUUCGUCUGGUCAACCUCUUCCUGGAGCUGAUCUUGGUGGCCCGGUUGUUCAGGACACUGGAUGCGGAGAGGUUUUACAGCACCCAGAGCCGGAGCUAAAACCAGCCUCACUUUCCUCCCAUGAUGCCACUCUCUGAGGACCAGCUGGGAGGUUGCUAGUGACUACCCUGGGAGACACCCCACCCACCUGUGUCUUGGGGGAUUCUGAAACAGGUGCAAGAUGCCAGCCUGCUUAGGGGCAGAAACAUAACAGGACUGAUGCACAGAUGAAUUCAGAGACUGUGACAGUGUACCCAAGACCUGCACAGGUUCAAACCAGAGGGGGUCCCAACAAUGAGAGAGAAGUAGACCAGGGGUCCCACGCUUAAUCAAGAAGGUAUGUGCAAUUGAUACCUGCUGGCUACAGUGGCGUGCCACUACACUCCUGAGCAGACCUCAUGCCUAGUUGGCCAACAUGAAACUAACUCCAUGUUUUGUUUUAUCUGUAAACUUGUUGUUUCAUCUUGGCAUUUUUUUUUGUCUUAUUGGACUUUUGCUUAUUUCUUUUGAUCUGUGUUAUGGUGGGCUUGGCUUUUAUUUUGUAUUGUAUUAUAUUGUAUUGUUUCUGAAAGAGAGAAGGAGAGAGAAAAGAAGAUAAAGGUGGGUAGGUUGGGAGGUGGGGGCGUCCAGGAGGAGUUGGGGGAGGAGAAGGGACAACAUGAUCAAAACAUUUCAAGGAAAAAAAAAAUAAAUCCAGUUACAUUGACAAGGGAAAGCACAUACGGAUGUGCUUGCAAGUGUUUGUGGAUAUGUACGCAGAUCCAUAUACACAGACUCAAAUAUAUAAGUAAACAACACACACACAUGUAUGCACACACGUACAUGUGUGCAUGUGUGUAUAAGAUAUGCUUUGUAGCCAUUUCAGUUCUCACAGUGUUAGAUUGGUAAUAACCGCCACACAAGCCAAACCGCUGGACACUUUGAUUAGUCGGUAAACGUGCAAAGGCAUCCGAGAAGCCGGCUCUUGUUCCAGAAGUACUUUUCAGCUCCAAACCAGAACCCACAGGCGACUGAGGAUUUAUUACAAACGCUCAUUGUGCACUCUCACUUUAAAAAAUUUAUUGAGGGCUCCGAGCUUGUUAACAAAGAUUUACCAUUCGCUCCUGGCUAAUUCCGAGGUUAACAUCAACUCCUUUUUUUUUUCCAGCCUUUCGUACAAACACAAAGCCUAAAACCCUCCUAGUGCUCCAGGUGGCCUUCUGCCCUGUUCCUUUGCUACUCGAAAACCUCCCAGAGGAUUCGAGCGGUCGGUCGGAGGACGUGAAUUCCAUAGAGGCGGUCUCCGUUCAGUAGAUAAUUCUGUUGUAAUGGUUAUUACCACCUUCCAGCCUGCACGGCUCAGAUAAAUAGAAAAUGCAUUCAGUGUUUACACGUCUUCCCAGGGGACUGGGAAGCAGGCUGAUGCUGGCUCUAAUUGUUAUGAGAGAGUUGCAUCGCUCAGACCUGGCAGUCCCAGCUGGUCCCUCCCACUGCUCUUCCUGGAGCUAGCCUGCUUUUGAGGGGUUGUUUUGGGUUGUCCUGGGGUCCUGCUUUGGGGUCAGAGUUGUUUGUCUGAGUGUGUAACCCCACCAUCACCUCCUCAGCUCCCUAACUCACCCAAAUGAAACCCAGCAGAGUGGCUCAUAUUCCAGUGACCUGGGGCCACUGUCUGGUCAGUUUAAUAUCGGCGUGGCUCUCUGUUAGACUCUUUCCCACCGUAGACACUUCCUCAUUCUAGACAUUUGGUGACAAAUCGAAGUAUAGGAGCCAUAGUACAUGCUGCGGCUCUCAAAUUCCCUUAGCCAAUUUAUAAUUGACUUUUAAAUCAUUUAGGUGCAAAAGCAAAUAAUAAUAGCUCCUUGGUUCAGUAGAUAAUAAAUUCCAGCUCAUGAAAACUGAGAGAGAAGCCCGAGCCCAUAAAGAUUAAAUAUUUAUGUAGAUACUACACGCAGGGUGACAUAUAAAUGCACAUACACACACAUUUUAGGUACUGCUGUUCAUUUUUAAUUCCUUGUGUGAUAUCCAAUAAGAAAAAAAAAUUCCAGCAGAGAAAAAAAAAAUGAAAGGAAGAUUUAUGGCCUCCAAAUUAAUACAAGAAAACAUCGCUGUAAUAGCUAUCCUCUUACGGCAGGAGCAGGGAGAGAGAGGAGAUUCAAAAGAUAUUGAAUUGAUAAAAUUAUCUUUUCUCUAUUGCGGGAAGGGUGGGUUAAUAUCCAUAAAGAACUUAGAACUCCCUCAGUCAUGAGGAUGCCCUAUAAAUACAAACCAUCAUUAUAAUUUAUUAUUGAACAGAGUCCAUUUUUUCAUCUAAGCCAUUUUUCAAACCCCUUGGAGCUCAGGCUCCUCUGAUGGGAGCCCUGACAUUGAGCCAAAACACCUCUCCCAGGCACGGAGCAGCCAUCUAUCAGUGUAAUGUGCAGACCUCAAAGCCAGCCUCCUCGGGAGCCAAGAGCCCUAGGCAGGCAGGCUCAAGCUCAGCCUCGGUCAGUGCACUCUGGAUUCCUAGUGAGCCCCACCACCCUGGUCCAGCCCCAUAGAACAAAGUCUCACUAACCUCCGUGUCUUCCUCCCAAUAAGGGAAGCUUAGGCCAAGGGACACUCACUUUUCUUUUCCACCCUGUCCGUACUAAGUUGUGCCUUCUCUGAAAUUGUAAUUAAAAUCUCUAGCUGUGAGAGUUCAACCACAGUCAAGUAGCCCCUGCUCCCCAAAGUAUGAAGCAGGUGCUCUCUUUCUUCAUAAGGGAAGGAGGGCCUGGGUUCCAACCCUAAAGAAGAGGCAACUGCUACGCAGCACACGGGAGUAUAGCUGAAAAACUGGGAUCUGAUCCUGAAAUAGAUCUUCACAAAUGGAGGGGCUGUGGUGUGCUCAGUGGUACGGUGCUUCCCUGGCACAUGGAAGAUUCUAGGUUCAAUCCUUGGAGCCACAAUCAACAACCAAGACAAAAAGGAAUCCACGAGAUAGCUUUACUCAAUUGUGGGGCUGAGUCCAUUUAAGCAAACGUGGCCAAGCUGAACUGAGCGCCUGCAAGGCUCAUGACCACAACCAGAAGACGGACUUGUUUUGGAUGCUGCCCCAAGCCUCCUUCUCCCCUGCACUGUAAAAUGUUGCGAUUAUGGGUCACAGGAAGAAGUGUUUUUUUUUUUUUGUUGUUGUUGUUGAAUUUUUUUUAAACAUUCCUCCUGAAUGUAAAUUUGUACUAUUUAACUGACUAUUGGUGUAAAAUCUUGUCAUGUGUAUAAAAAUAAAAAAAGAUCCCAAAU